UACGUAGGGAGCGAGCGUUAUCCGGAAUUAUUGGGCGUAAAGCGUGCGUAGGCGGUCUUUUAAGUCAUUUGUGAAAUCCCACAGCUUAACUGUGGACGGUCAUUUGAAACUGGAAGACUAGAGUACGGCAGAGGUUAGUGGAAUGCAAUGUGUAGCGGUAAAAUGCGUUGAUAUAUUGCGGAACACCAGUGGCGAAGGCGGCUAACUGGACCGGAACUGACGCUGAGGCACGAAAGCGUGGGGAG
rnacentral:rRNA from 1 species